rnacentral:ribozyme from 1 species
UUUUUUUUUUUUUUUUUUUUUUUUUUUUUUCACAUCACUU